rnacentral:rRNA from 1 species
AUACGUAGGGGGCGAGCGUUGUCCGGAAUGAUUGGGCGUAAAGCGAGCGCAGGCGGUUUCUUAAGUCUGAUGUGAAAGCCCCCGGCUCAACCGGGGAGGGUCAUUGGAAACUGGGAGACUUGAGUGCAGAAGAGGAGAGUGGAAUUCCAUGUGUAGCGGUGAAAUGCGUAGAGAUAUGGGGGAACACCAGUGGCGAAGGCGACUCUCAGGCCUGAAACUGACGCUGAGGUCCGAAAGCGUGGAGAGCAAACAGGAUUAGAUCCCCUGGUAGUCCACGCCGUAAACGAUGAGUGCUAAGUUUUGGAGGGUUUCCGCCCUUCAGUGCUGCAGCUAACGCAUUAAGCACUCCGCCUGGGGAGUACGACCGCAAGGUGGAAACUCAAAUGAAUUGACGGGG